AGUGAACGCUGGCGGCAGGCCUAACACAUGCAAGUCGGGCGGCAGCGCGUCCGACCACCCUCGGGUGGUCGGAUGGCGGCGAGCGGCGGACGGGUGAGGAAUGCAUCGGAAUCUGCCUCGUUGUGGGGGAUAACGUAGGGAAACUUACGCUAAUACCGCAUACGACCUACGGGUGAAAGUGGGGGACCUUCGGGCCUCACGCGAUGAGAUGAGCCGAUGCCGGAUUAGCUAGUUGGCGGGGUAAAGGGCCCACCAAGGCGACGAUCCGUAGCCGGUCUGAGAGGAUGAUCAGCCACACUGGAACUGAGACACGGUCCAGACUCCUACGGGAGGCAGCAGUGGGGGAAGUAUUGGACAAUGGGGGCGAACCCUGAUCCAGCCAUGCCGCGUGUGUGAAGAAGGCCUCGGUU
rnacentral:rRNA from 1 species